GACGAACGCUGGCGGCGUGCUUAACACAUGCAAGUCGAACGGAAAGGCCCUGCUUUUGUGGGGUGCUCGGGUGGCGAACGGGUGAGUAACACGUGAGUAACCUGCCCUGGACUUUGGGAUAACUUCAGGAAACUGGGGCUAAUACCGGAUAGGAGCUCCUGCUGCAUGGUGGGGGUUGGAAAGUUUCGGCGGUUGGGGAUGGACUCGCGGCUUAUCAGCUUGUUGGUGGGGUAGUGGCUUACCAAGGCUUUGACGGGUAGCCGGCCUGAGAGGGUGACCGGCCACAUUGGGACUGAGAUACGGCCCAGACUCCUACGGGAGGCAGCAGUGGGGAAUAUUGCACAGUGGGCGGAAGCCUGAUGCAGCAACGCCGCGUGCGGGAUGACGGCCUUCGGGUUGUAAACCGCUUUCGCCUGUGACGAAGCGUGAGUGACGGUAAUGGGUAAAGAAGCACCGGCUAACUACGUG
rnacentral:rRNA from 1 species